UUUAAGUCGUCGCUACCCCUGUUACAGCACCAAAUUACAUCCAAACUGCCACUCGGGCCGAACUGCAUCACACGCACAGGCCAGCCGGAUCUCACGCAGCACAUCCGGCCCCGCCUGCCGGAGCCCGCGGGAACCCGCCUCGUCCCUCCCCGUUCUCUGGACAAGGUGGAUUUUACUCGCCACUGGCAACUGAAGAUGAUAAGCGGAUGCUACCGCUCGCUCAAGUACUUUGUAAGGGCCAUAGUACUUAAACAACAACUUAUGAUGAGCACGAGCAGCGACUGAAGACUGAAUGUAUGGUUGCAGCUUCAGGCCGACCUAGGCGGUAUUGCCUAUUUGGAACUUUGGAUUUUUGUACUCAUUGUAUUCGCAUACUCGAAUUGCAAACCCUUAUGGAAAAACAUGCUCCAAAGCUGUCAAUUAAUUUCCGCGUGCACAAGGGGGGGAGGCCAUCGAGGGAACUACAUGCCUGACUUACAAACAUUAUCAUGAUAAUGAACACAUACUUCCAUCAACAUUAUGGAAAAAUCAAACUAUGUAUGUCUUCCACUUAUUUGGCUAAUAUUGGUUACAAUUUAGAGAUAUUUAUUUGCAGCGAGAUAGCUCCCUACA